rnacentral:rRNA from 1 species
AACUUUCAACAACAGAUCUCUUGGUUCUGGCAUCAAUGAAGAAUGCAGCAAAAUGUGAUAAGUAAUGUGAAUUGCAGAAUUCCAUGAAUCAUUGAAUCUUUAAACACACAUUGCACCCUCUGGUAUUCUGAAGGGCAUGCCUGUUUGAGUGUCA